UGGGGAAUAUUGCACAAUGGAGGGAACUCUGAUGCAGCGACGCCGCGUGAACGAAGAAGGCUUUCGAGUCGUAAAGUUCUUUUAUAUGGGAAGAUAAUGACGGUACCAUAAGAAAAAGCCCCGGCUAACUACGUGCCAGCAGCCGCGGUAAUACGUAGGGGGCUAGCGUUGUCCGGAAUCACUGGGCGUAAAGGGUUCGCAGGCGGAAAUGCAAGUCAGGUGUAAAAGGCAGUAGCUUAACUACUGUAAGCAUUUGAAACUGCAUAUCUUGAGAAGAGUAGAGGUAAGUGGAAUUUUUAGUGUAGCGGUGAAAUGCGUAGAUAUUAAAAAGAAUACCGGUGGCGAAGGCGACUUACUGGGCUCAUUCUGACGCUAAGGAACGAAAGCGUGGGUAGCAAACAGG
rnacentral:rRNA from 3 species